rnacentral:rRNA from 1 species
CCCUUAGAUGUUCUGGGCUGCACGCGCGCUACACUGAAGCGUUCAACGAGUAUUCACCUUGCCCGGGAGGGUUGGGUAAUCUUUUGAAAACGCUUCGUGAUGGGGAUAGAUUAUUGCAAUUAUUAAUCUUCAACGAGGAAUUCCUAGUAAGCGCGAGUCAUCAGCUCGUGCUGAUUACGUCCCUGCCCUUUGUACACACCGCCCGUCGCUCUUACCGAUUGAGUGAUCCGGUGAAUAAUUCGGACUGCAGCACUGCUUGGUCUCCAGGCUUUGCAGCGGAAAGUUUAGUGAACCUUAUCACUUAGAGGAAGGAGAANUCGUANCA